GCAUGGAUACCUUAGUCAGUAGAGCAUGAGACUCUUAAUCUCAGGGUUGGGGGUUCAAGCCCCAUGUUGGGCA